GACGAACGCUGGCGGCGUGCCUAACACAUGCAAGUCGUACGGGCUUGGGGGGCGAACUCUCAAGUCAGUGGCGGACGGGUGCGUAACACGUGAGCAACUUGCCCUACGGUGGGGGAGUAGCCGGCCCAACGGCCGGGUAAUACCGCGUAAUGCGUUGGGGUCGGCAUGGCCCUCGGCGUGAAAGCGGCCGCAAGGUCGCGCCGGAGGAGGGGCGUCGCGGCGUAUCAGCUAGUUGGCGGGGUAACGGCCCACCAAGGCUACGACGCGUAGCUGGUCUGAGAGGAUGGCCAGCCACAUUGGGACUGAGAUACGGCCCAGACUCCUACGGGAGGCAGCAGUGGGGAAUAUUGCGCAAUGGCCGCAAGGCUGACGCAGCGACGCCGCGUGUGGGAUGAAGGCCU
rnacentral:rRNA from 1 species